UACGUAGGGCGCAAGCGUUGUCCGGAAUUAUUGGGCGUAAAGAGCUCGUAGGCGGCUUGUCACGUCGGGUGUGAAAGCCCCGGGGCUUAACCCGGGUCUGCAUUCGAUACGGGCUGGCUGGAGUUCGGUAGGGGAGAUCGGAAUUCCUGGUGUAGCGGUGAAAUGCGCAGAUAUCAGGAGGAACACCAGUGGCGUAAGCGAUCACCUGGGCUAGACCUGACGCUGAGGGACGAAGGCGUGGGAGCAAACGGG
rnacentral:rRNA from 1 species